rnacentral:rRNA from 1 species
GACGAACGCUGGCGGCGUGCUUAACACAUGCAAGUCGAACGGAAAGGCACUGCUUUUGUGGGGUGAUCGAGUGGCGAACGGGUGAGUAACACGUGAGUAACCUGCCCUUGACUUUGGGAUAACUUCAGGAAACUGGGGCUAAUACCGGAUAGGAGCUCCUGCUGCAUGGUGGGGGUUGGAAAGUUGCGGCGGUUGGGGAUGGACUCGCGGCUUAUCAGCUUGUUGGUGGGGUAGUGGUUUACCAAGGCUUUGACCGGUAGCCGGCCUGAGAGGGGGGACGGCGACCAGGGGACUGAGGGAGGGCCCAGACGCCUACGGGAGGCAGCAGUCGGGAGUAUGGCACAAUGGUCGGGAGUGUGUGACGGCAACGCUGCGGUCGUAAAGACGGUCUGUGGGGAGUGAACAGCUGUCGCCUGUUACGAAGCGGGAGUGACGGUAAUGGGUAAAUAAGCACCGGCUAACUACGUG